rnacentral:lncRNA from 1 species
AAGAAAUGAAUUUUCAUUCAUUGAAAUUCAUAAUUACAUAAAGGGUCGAGCCAUUUACAUUGAAAAUAGGAAAAAUAAAAAGCAUAACAAGCUAAGCAGGUGGGGAAGGGGAAGGGGAGGAGCACCAACAAAGGGAAUGAUGGUGUUAGGGCCAAUACUUCGGAAGUUGCAUUGUCCCUACUAGCCUCAUCAUCUUCAAGUUCUAUUAUAUGGCUAUCCUCUGUCGGAAUCUGAGACUCUUCUUUUUCACUCUCUUCCAAGAAUUCUGACUCCACUUAGUGGAAUUGAAAAUUGAGUGUACCUCAAUCCAUUCCACGACCUUAAUGUAAGCAAACCUCCUAACAAUUUUCUCCUCUUCAGUGAGGCCAACAACUUUGGAAUUUAAGCUCUCCCACUUGCUAUUUCAAUGCAGCAUUUUCCUUAUUUGAUCUCUCCAAGGCCUUAAUAGCUAAUUUUUUAUGAGCAUCAGAAGUCUCCAUUUGCUUAGUCAAGGAAGCCACUUCACUUUGAGAUAAAUGAGCUUUCUUUUUUAAAUUCUCAAUCCCUACUAAGGCAAAAGCGAGCUUCAUAUACUCUUCAGCUUGCGGCUUUUUAAUGGCCUUAGCAUCGGCCUUGUCUUUCUCUGUGUUUCCUUGACCUAGGAGGUCUUACUCAAAAAUACUUUAUUUUUCUUUAGAAAUUUUAUAAAAGAUGACUUUAGCCUCUAUGGAGUUUCCAAAUGCACUCCUUGUCUGGCUCACUAUCGUAACAAAAAUAUUCGUCAAAUAGUUGGACUUAACGAAGAUCUUCCAUCAUUCAUCCAGUACCUGUGAAAUGUGGUAGUAGCCCUUUGGACUUCUGGAGGUAACAUGGACAGUGCCUCCAGAGCCAAAUUAUCACACCUCUUCGAUAAGGAGAGCUUUGUUUGGAAAGAUGCCACGUCUGAAGCUAUUGAGGUGUCACUUGACACCCUCCAUUUCACUGAAGACUCCUGAUCGGAAGCUUCAUGACAAAUGACCUCUUUUAUCCAUUUGCUACAGCAAUAGACGCUGCCAACAAUUUCUCUUCUAUCAAGACUUCAAAUUGAAGGGGUAGCUUAAUAGUGGACUCCUUGGUAGAAAAGAAUAAAUAUUUUUCUUGGAAACCUCCUCCACCUUACUCUUUCCCUUGCCCUUUUAGGGAUAGUCCAUCACCUUCACGGUUACUAGCUUUCUUGCUGACCUACCCCAUUUAGUCCCUCACCUGCUUUGCAGCAGUAGAUGAGGGCUUAAUCCCUUCUUCCCAACUGUGGAGGUUGUGAUUGGGACGGGGACCAUGUCAAGAGCCGGGUAUUUCAUCUUUCCAAAAUUUUCUACAAAUAAAGGAAAAACAUAUAGGAUCAGUAUAAAUGGUACUUCACAAACAGUAAGGAAAAUUCCUCAAAUGUUAUAUCUUCGGAACAUUGGUCCAAAAUUCUCUAAAAAUCUUCGAGCAACAACUAAAUGUUCAAACUUUCUAGAAGAUGAAGGAUAAAGGUAGGUGUCUUUUACACUGCCCAACUCCGCAUAGGUCAAAUCAAAGUGAUUGAUCGAUCUUUCAACAUACACAAAGUCAGGAUCAAUUCAAUUGAAAAACAUAAAAAACUAAAGAUGGGACACUUACGAGCUUCAGCAUAGGUGGUUGGAAUAGUCAUGUGAGGAACCUUGUCAUCCUUUUCACAUUGCUAAUAUUUCCUCACCUAAAACUGGGUCUAUUUCA